rnacentral:rRNA from 1 species
AUGAGGUGCCGGACGCACCCCUACGAGAGCGCGGUCGGCGUGUGCGCCGCCUGCCUCCGCGGCCGCCUGCUCGCGCUCGCCGCCAAGCAGAACCAGGCGCCCUCGCUGCCCCCGACGCCGCUGCCGGAGCCCGUCCCGCUCUUCCCGAGGUCGGUGUCGCCCUACGUCUGCCCCCGCAAGUCCGACGCCGCCUCGGGGCCCGGGCCGUGGCGCCACCCGUCCAGCCGCCUCUUCUUCCGGACGCCCCAGGUCGGGCCCGGCACCGGCUUCGAGGAGGGCGACACCGGGUUCCAGAUCAGGCGGAGGCGGAGCAGCAAGCUCUCCGCCCUCGCCGCGCUCUUCGGCGGUCACCGCCAGCACCGGCACGACGCAUCGGAGGAGAAGGGCGGGGGGCGGAGGCACGGAUCUUGGCUCGCGGGGAUCAUGCCGCGCGCGCGCGGUCGACGGAAGGAGGGGCCGGCGACGGAGUCGCCGCUGUCCCCGCGGCGCUCCUCCCGCGUGAUCAGCAACCGGGGGCUCUCGCCGGUGCGGUGCUCCUACGAGGAGAGCGAGGAGGGCGGCUCGGUGGCGGACUCGCCGUGGCGGCCGUCGCCGAUGCGGAAGACCCCCUGCCGUCGCCUCCUGGGCGGCGCCGGGGCCGGCGUGUCGGGCUUCGCGGUGUGCAUCAGCCCGCUCGUCCGCCCCAGCCCGGCGCGGAACCACCACCGCGGAGGCCACCCUCCGGACGCCCCCGCGCUGUCCGGCGAGCUCCGGCCGUCGCCGCUCCACCAGCCCUCCUCCGGCUCCUCCCUCCACCACUGCCGCUCCUGGAAGCUGGCCGACGGCGGCCGCUUCAGGUGA